rnacentral:rRNA from 1 species
GAUGAACGCUGGCGGCGUGCCUAAUACAUGCAAGUCGAGCGAAGCGGGGGCGCGUGAGUAACACGUGGAUGACCCCCUAUAAGACUGGGAUAACUUCGGGGAACCGGAGCUAAUCCCGCUUCUUAUAGAUGGAUCCGCGGUGCAUUAGCUAGUGGGUAAGGUAACGGCUUACCAAGGCCACGAUGCAUAGCCGACCUGAGAGGGUGAUCGGCCACACUGGAACUGAGACACGGUCCAGACUCCUACGGGAGGCAGCAGUAGGGAAUCUUCCGCAAUGGGCGAAAGCCUGACGGAGCAACGCCGCGUGAGUGAUGAAGGCCUUCGGAUCGUAAAGCUCUGUUAUUAGGGAAGCGUUACCUGAUGAGAAAGCCACGGCUAACUCCGUGCCAGCAGCCGCGGUAAUUC